rfam:Mycobacterium sp. Spyr1, complete genome.
ACGGAAGUUGAGCAAGGCCAAGGCCGAGCCGGAAGAGAAGGCUCGAUCUCCCGAACUCAGCUCCCCAGCACGGGUCCCGGAACCCACGCGGAGCACAUACCGCCAUACAGGUAAAAGCGUUGCGGGCCUGCGUAGUUGCGAAAAUCGAAUGACCUCGACGGCCCUUUGGGUGGGGCUGCGGUCAUAGCGAGUCGCAAAGGCGCCGAGGCCACCCACGCAACCCAUCACGCACGCUUGGUAUCCGGAUUCCCGUGUUGGCGGGCGGUGAGCCGAUGUGGUCGGAAGACCAUACGGAUCGCCGCCCGCUUCAUUUU